rnacentral:rRNA from 1 species
GUAGGUGGCAAGCGUUGUCCGGAAUUAUUGGGCGUAAAGCGCGCGCAGGGCGGUCCUUUAAGUCUGAUGUGAAAGCCCACGGCUCAACCGUGGAGGGUCAUUGGAAACUGGGGGACUUGAGUACAGAAGAGGAAAGCGGAAUUCUAAGUGUAGCGGUGAAAUGCGUAGAGAUUUGGAGGAACACCAGUGGCGAAGGCGGCUUUCUGGUCUGUAACUGACGCUGAGGCGCGAAAGCGUGGGGAGCAAACAGGAUUAGAUACCCUGGUAGUCCACGCCGUAAACGAUGAGUGCUAAGUGUUAGGGGGUUUCCGCCCCUUAGUGCUGCAGCUAACGCAUUAAGCACUCCGCCUGGGGAGUACGGCCGCAAGGCUG